GAUGAACGCUGGCGGCGUGCCUAAUACAUGCAAGUCGAGCGAACAGACGAGGAGCUUGCUCCUCUGACGUUAGCGGCGGACGGGUGAGUAACACGUGGAUAACCUACCUAUAAGACUGGGAUAACUUCGGGAAAACGGAGCUCAUACCGGGUAUUCUAUUUAACCGCAUGGUUCAAUAGUGAAAGACGGUUUUGCUGUCACAUAUAGUUGGAUCCGCGCCGCAUUAGCUAGUUGGUAAGGUAACGGCUUACCAAGGGAACGAUGCUUAGCCGACCGAAGAGAGGGAUCGGCAAAACUGGAACUGAGACACGCUCCAGACCCUUACGGGAGGCACAAGUAGGGAAUCUUCCGCAAGGGGCGAAAGCCGGACGGAGAAACGCCGCGGGAGUGAGGAAGGUCUUCGGUUCGUAAGACUCUGUUAUCAGGGAGGAACAAAUGUGUACGUAACGUGGCACGGCUUGACGGUACCUAAACAGAAAGCCACGGCUAACUACGUG
rnacentral:rRNA from 1 species